ensembl:snRNA U4 U4 spliceosomal RNA
AGCUUUGCGCAGUGGCAGUAUCGUAGCCAAUGAGGUUUCUCUGAGGUGCGAUUAUUGCUAAUACAAAGCCAUGGAUGGUCCUGGAGACCAGAGCCAUCAAAACCCUUGUUCUUGUGCGGAAAAGA